rnacentral:rRNA from 1 species
AGGAUAAACGCUGGCGGCGUGCCUAACACAUGCAAGUCGAACGCUCUCUGGCAACAGAGGGAGUGGCGGACGGGUGAGUAACACGUGGGUACCUACCCCAAGGUGAGGAAUACCGGCGAGAAAUCGCCGACAAUACCGCAUAGCUUUCGCAAGAAAGAAAGCUUCGCAAGAGGCGCCAUGGGAAGGGCCUGCGGCCGAUUAGCUAGUUGGUAAGGUAAAAGCUUACCAAGGCGACGAUCGGUAGCUGGUCUGAGAGGACGAUCAGCCACACUGGGAUUGAGAACGGCCCAGACUCCUACGGGGGGCAGCAGUGAGGAAUUUCGUCAAUGGGGGCAACCCUGAACGAGCAACGCCGCGUGCAGGAAGAAGGUUUUCGGAUCGUAAACUGCUUUUCUCUGGGACGAGAACGGACGGUACCAGAGGAAUAAGGCCCCGGCUAACUACGCGCCAGCAGCCGC